rnacentral:tRNA from 1 species
AGGUCGUUAGCUCAAUUGGUAGAGCACCGGUCUCCAAAACCGGGGGUUGCAGGUUCGAGUCCUGCACGGCCUG